GCCUUUAAUAGUGUUCGAAAUGACACCGUUUGGGGCUAGAUUCAGUGGCUCCAAAACGGUGUCGUAUUAACAGUUGACCCGAUGACCCGACCCGGAUGCGGUGAGAUCCGCGUGUUCUGGAAGGGGAGGGAGAUUUGCGGAAAAGGUCUUUCUUCUCUUGCAGGAUUUUUUUAAAUCGGUCCUUUUAUUUUUUUUAUUUUUACCCUGCAUUUUGAUAUUGUCACAUUUUGGUCUAUGUCACUGCACUGCGUUUUGGGGAAGCGGGAUAUUUCCCAUUUGGCUUCCCCCCAUAAUUCACAAAUUGCAGUUUGACCCUCCAGUUCUUUUAAAUUACAUUUGCGGCCCGUUAAUUUAGUUCUGUCCGC
rnacentral:lncRNA from 1 species